rnacentral:rRNA from 1 species
AGCGAACGCUGGCGGCAGGCUUAACACAUGCAAGUCGAACGGGCACUACGGUGUCAGUGGCAGACGGGUGAGUAACACGCGGGAACGUACCUUGUGGUUCGGAACAACUGAGGGAAAAGUCAGCUAAUACCGGAUAAGCCCAUACGGGGAAAGAUUUAUCGCCGUAAGAUCGGCUCGCGUCUGAUUAGCUAGGAGGUAGGGGAAUGUCCGACCAAGGCGACGGUCAGUAGCUGGUCUGAGAGGAUGAUCAUCCACAUUGGGACUGAGACACGGCCCAAACUCGUACGGGAGGCAGCAGUGGGAAAUAUUGGACAAUGGGGGCAACCCUGUUCCAACCAUGCCGCGUGAGUGAUGAAGGCCCUAGGGUUGUAAAGCUCUUUUGUGCGGGAAGAUAAUGACGGUACCGCAAGAAUAAGCCCCGGCUAACUUCGUGCCAGCCGCCGCAGUAA